rnacentral:rRNA from 1 species
GACGAACGCUGGCGGCGUGCUUAACACAUGCAAGUCGAGCGGUAAGGCCCUUUCGGGGGUACACGAGCGGCGAACGGGUGAGUAACACGUGGGUGACCUGCCCUCAGCUCUGGGAUAAGCCUGGGAAACCGGGUCUAAUACUGGAUAUGACUCCACGGUGCAUGUCGUGGGGUGGAAAGCCUUGUGCGGCUGAGGAUGGGCCCGCGGCCUAUCAGCUUGUUGGUGGGGNGAUGGCCUACCAAGGCGACGACGGGUAGCCGGCCUGAGAGGGCGACCGGCCACACUGGGACUGAGACACGGCCCAGACUCCUACGGGAGGCAGCAGUGGGGAAUCUUGCGCAAUGGGCGAAAGCCUGACGCAGCGACGCCGCGUGAGGAUGACGGCC